GAACAUUUCGAAAGUAGGCACAGCAACUUUUUUCCCAUUCCAAUUGAAAUGAGAUCAAGAAUGAGUGGAUAGUAACUUAAGAACAUCAUCUCCAAUUCUCCACUCCCCUCCCUCCCAAAAAAAAAGAAGAUAUUUUCACUCUCUAAUAUAUAAACCAAAUCUCCCUUCUCUUGUUCUGUGACACACAAACCAAUUAACCAAGUAAUAACCCAAAAAGAAAAACAAUGGCAAUCUUGAGUUACAUGACAGUGAACUCAGGAACAACACCAAUAUCAAAAGACUCAUCAUUAUCAUCAUCAAGUCCAGCAACAAAUACAAUGCCCACCAAAAUCAUUCUCCCAAACAAGAAACAAGCUAAAUGGUCAACCGGCACGGCACCCGGCGAAUACGGUGGACCACCAAUCACCACCAAACUCCGUAAGUACUGGGGAGGUGAGAAAGAGGAUCCCAUUACUUCAUCUGAUUUGAUUUGGAACAGAGAUUUUAUGCCACAAAUGGAGAAGUUACUUGUUCAUGAUCAACCUCAACUUUCUGCUCCUCCCUCUGACACUGUUGAGGAGUCGUCUGGAUUUCUUAGCUUCAAUCGAGUCAUGAGUCUCGACAGUUUAGAAGUUGAUCUCAGUGCUUCUCUUAAAGCAACUCCGAAGCCAGAAUUAGUACAGCAAGUUUUAACACCCAAAAAUACGCAAGUUCCUACACGAAGAUGGAAAUUGGCACCUACUAAACGUGAGCAGGAGAAAUGGGAUAAAGCAUACAAGGCUGCGACUGGGGGCACUGAUGUAAUGCUGCGCGAGGUAAAAAAACCUCGGGGAGACCCAGAAGUUUUAGCUGCCGAAUCAAGAGAGCAAUAUUAUAAGCUGAAGAACAAAAUGCAAAUUCUAACAUUGGGAAUAGGUGGUGUUGGCCUAGUUUCAGCUUAUGUUUCUUACUCUCCAGAAAUUGCAACAAGUUUUGGUGUUGGAUUUCUUGGAUCACUGGCCUACAUACGGAUGCUGGGUAAUAGUGUGGACUCCAUGGCCUCCACUGGAGCUAAGAGAAUGAUAAAGGCAGCAGUUGGGCAGCCUAGGCUAUUGGUACCAGUUGUGUUAGUCAUGGUUUACAAUCGUUGGAACGGGAUUGUGGUUCCUCAAUAUGGACUUAUGCACCUGGACUUGAUACCAAUGCUAGUAGGGUUCUUCACCUACAAAAUUGCUACUUUUGUCCAAGCGAUCGAGGAAGCGCUGACUGUAGUGGGGAAGAAGUCAGAGAUAUGAGCUACUUCUCUCUUUACUUCAAUUUUCAGGUCAUUUGAUGUUCCAAUACAACUAAUCCAAAUUAAACAAGUGGCUUGAAGAGCGUACUCAUCAAACAGGAAACAACAUCAUACUUUGAAAGAUUUGACAGAAUAGCAAGACCAUGCUCAAUGCUGACAGUUUGAGGAACAUAAAGACGUCAGUAUUUACAUUCAAGUUAUCAAAGUAAUGGUAUAAUUAUGUAAUAAGUAGAUCGAUGUCACGGUCAUUUUACACAAGAUGUAGCUUUACUCCAUUGUAAAUGCAGGUUAAUCUAUGACAAUACUCCCUCUGUCCCAAUUUAGCUGUUA